rnacentral:rRNA from 1 species
AUGAACGCUGGCGGCGUGCCUAAUACAUGCAAGUCGAGCGAACAGACGAGGAGCUUGCUCCUCUGACGUUAGCGGCGGCCGGGGGAGUAACACGUGGAUAACCUACCUAUAAGACUGGGAUAACUUCGGGAAACCGGAGCUAAUACCGGAUAAUAUAUUGAACCGCAUGGUUCAAUAGUGAAAGACGGGUUUGCUGUCACUUAUAUAUGGAUCCGCGCCGCAUUAGCUAGUUGGUAAGGUAACGGCUUACCAAGGCAACGAUGCGUAGCCGACCUGAGAGGGUGAUCGGCCACACUGGAACUGAGACACGGUCCAGACUCCUACGGGAGGCAGCAGUAGGGAAUCUUCCGCAAUGGGCGAAAGCCUGACGGAGCAACGCCGCGUGAGUGAUGAAGGUCUUCGGAUCGUAAAACUCUGUUAUUAGGGAAGAACAAAUGUGUAAGUAACUAUGCACGUCUUGACGGUACCUAAUCAGAAAGCCACGGCUAACUACGUG